AAAUUAAAGAAGGCAUUUCUAGUCAGAAACAAGCAAAAAAUGGUGAAUGCAGAGUAUCAGAAGCCCAAGGUACAGAAAUUAUGAGAAGUGUCGAAUGAUUUUAAGGAAAGAGUCGCAUUUGAAAAUGCAAGACUCUUUAGUGGAGGUCAAGCAAGUCAGUAUAGGUAGAAUACUUUGCAAAAUUAUGCGAGUGAGGGGAUGUCAAACAAUGGGUCAGGAAAUGCGUUAUUUUUCUGCAAAACAAAAGCUGAUUGCCAUUACAUAAGUCGCUUUAGCAUCAUGAGACUGCUGCUUGAUAAAUUCAGAAAUAAACCAAAAAACAAGACACGCAAAAAUAAAAAACAAUUUAAUGAUGCUCUCUCCACACUGGGAUAAAUAAAAACAAACACAUCACAUCUAAUGUGGACAUAUCAGACGCCUUGUGAAACACUAAAGGAAAAAUUCAGUUUCGAGCUAUGGCACUUGCCGCAUAGGUGUGGGGGGCCUUGCACUAAUAGUGAUAGUUACCACUGCAUUUAGAAAUUGAAAGCAUUCAUGAAGACAAGGAUGAUUCUUUAUAUUUUUGGCUACCACUUCAAAUGCCUCCAGCAAGUGUUACAAUGCUGCGCGCAGCCAUACUAAGGAUCUCGCAGCAACACCUGCAGGUAAAAAGCAAAAGCAGUCAAAGUGCUGGUGUAUUCUGGACACUAUGUUCGAAAACUUUUAGGCAAGAAUAGUGCAAGAAGCAGACAUAACAACUGCAUUUAUUUCCAUAAUUCCCCAUUUGAAUGGCCUUUUCUUUUUGCUUAGACAAUGCCUACGCCUAGCCACAGCAGCUCCCUCAUACAGACUCCGCAAGUCAAGAGACCGUGGAGGCAAAUGCAGGCAGCCAGCACACCUCGAACAGCCACCUUGACUGCGGAUGUAUCAGUAGAUUCCUGUUGUACAUAUGCUCACAAUAAACUUCAGUAAACUUGAACUUGAUAAUAAACUUGAAGGCAAAUGGGA
rnacentral:lncRNA from 1 species